AUUAGAGUUACAUCAGAGUUGGUGUGGGAAACAGAACAGCAGGAGAAAACACCUGAAGAAGAAAACAUCAACUUACUGUAACUAACCAAGGUCAAAGGUGGUGGGCAAGGUGUGUGGCUACACUCUUAUUAAUUACGAUGAAAGGGGCUGGUCAUCUUGACUAUGCUGUUUGUGGCCGUUAUCGACAAGGAGACAUUUGAGGGGUUUCCCCCAUCUCUUUAUUACAAUUAUUAGGGAUGAUGACAUCAUCGUUGUAAUAUCUGUACAGGCACCAGGUGCUUCAGAUCACUUUGAAGGAUGAGCUCCAGCACUCUCUCCUGAAGGAUCUGGCUGAGAUUAAAGAUCUCCAGCCGGAUGUGUGUGGAUGGAUCCCACUGACCUCUCCACUCCUGUGGACAUCAGAGUUCCCAUCACCAGCCUGCAGACCUACAAGACCUUCCUGAGGACCGAGGACAUCUCUUACUCUGUCACAGUUAUGUUGGAUGAGGAGUGGAGCAGAUGCUGAGUGCUCAUGCCGCUGAGCCCGGAAUACUGAUUACUACACCAAAUACCAGCUCUAUCGCAAUAGAUCUACAGUUUCCAGGACAUGAUGGCUAAGAACCCCAACCUGGUGAGCAAGAUCAUGAUUGGCCAGAGCUUUGAGGGCCGCCCUCUGAAUGUACUCUAAGUCAUGUCAGUUCUAAAAUAAAUUUUUUGGGGUGUUUGAAGAUUACCAGGAUUUUAUUUGCACCUGUAUUAAUGUAAAUACUCCACUUCUGUCUCUCAUAGUUCAGCACUGAAGGUACCAACCGUCCUGGCGCCCUCAUGAGGCCAGGUUCUCUCUAUUCAGUAUGAUAAUGUGCAUACAUCUUUCUGUUCAAUGACCACCAGAUUGUGACAGACUACAUGCGUUUAUUAGCCUACAAAAUUACGUUUGUGAUAGGACUUCAUUUGAAAGGUUUCACUAAUUAUAGCUUACAGUUGUUAGUGUUUAUAUAUUGGAGUGUUGAGACCAAAUCACUGACGCUGGACAGAGUGGAUUUCAGUUGUAACAAAAGACAGUUUUAAUGCGUCAAAGAUAUCUUGUCCUGCAGUUUUACGUGCAUGGAUCUAGUUCAUAUAACUCGGCAAGGAGUCAGGUGAAAAAGAGACCUUAUACAAAGGUUACAUUCAUUUUUAUACAUAGAAUAAAGUAGGUAGAGUCUUGUCGUUUUGGUCUUCUGACUGGUCACAAAGGGUUGGAGGCGGGCCUUGCUCUAGCCAGAGUGGGCCCCAUUGGUGC